rnacentral:rRNA from 1 species
GAGUAAAGAUUUCGGUCGCUUUGGGAGGAGCUCGCUUACUAUCAGCUUGUUGGUAGGGUAAUGGCCUACCAAGGCUAUGACGGUUAGGGGGUGCGAGAGCAUGACCCCCAGCAUUGGCACUGAAACACUGGCCAAACACCUACGGGUGGCUGCAGUCGAGAAUCUUCCACAAUGGGGGAAACCCUGAUGGAGCGAUGCUGCGUGCGGGAUGAAGGCCUUCGGGUUGUAAACCGCUUUUGUAGGGGACGAAAUUUUUGACGGUACCCUUUCGAAUAAGAGGUUGCUAACUCUGUGCCAGCAGCAGCGGUAAUACAGAGACCUCAAGCGUUAUCCGGAUUUACUGGGCGUAAAGCGUCUGUAGGGGGUUUAUUAAGUUCCAAGUAAAAUUUCAAGGCUCAACUUUGAAUUCGCUUGGAAAACUAAUAAACUGGAGUCUAGCAGAGGUGCAUGGAACUUGUGGUGUAGGAGUGAAAUCCGUUGAUAUCACAAGGAACACCAAAGGCGAAGGCAUUGCACUGGGCUAGCACUGACCCUGAGAGACGAAAGCGUGGGGAGCAAAACGGAUUAGAUACCCGUGUAGUCCACGCCCUAAACGAUGAAUGCUAAAUGUUCGGGGAUUCGACCCCCUGGGUGUUACAGCUAACGCGUUAAGCAUUCCGCCUGGGAAGUACGGCCGCAAGGCUAAAACUCAAAGGAAUAGACGGGGAUCCGCACAAGCGGUGGAGCGUCUGGUUUAAUUCGACAGUAAGCGUGGUACCUCACCAGGGUUUGACAUCCCUUGACAGCCUUGGAAACAAGGUUUCCUUCGGGCAAGGUGACAGGUGCUGCAUGGUCGUCGUCAGUUCGUGCCGUGAGGUGUUCCGUUAAGUCGGGAAACGAACGAAACCCCUAUUGCAUGUUACAAUUUCUCAUGCAAGACUGCCCGGAUAUACUGGGAGGAAGGUGGGGAUGACGUCAGAUCUGCAUGGUCCUUAUACCCUGGGCGACACAGGCGCUACAAUGGCGGAGACAAAGGGUUGCAAAACCGCAAGGUGAAGCUAAUCCCAAAAACUUUGUCUAAGUUCGGAUUGAAGGCUGCAAUUCGCCUUCAUGAAGCUGGAAUCGCUAGUAAUCGUGAAUCAGCCACGUCACGGUGAAUAUGUUCCCGGAUCUUGUACUCACCGCCCGUCACACCAAGAGAGUUGGUAGCUCCCGAAG